GCCUCUAUAGCUCAGCUGGUAGAGCAACUGAUUUGUAAUCAGUGGGUCGGGAGUUCGAGUCUCUCUGGGGGCACCA
rnacentral:tRNA from 2 species